GAUCUGGCAGGGCAGCACAUAUACUAAAAUUGGAACGAUACAGAGAAGAUUAGCAUGGCCCCUG